rnacentral:rRNA from 1 species
UUCAUCUACGUUCUUACUGACCUAACACAUGCAAGUCGAACGAAGUCUUCGGACUUAGUGGCGGACGGGUAGUAACACGUGGGAACGUGCCUUUAGGUUCGGAAUAACUCAGGGAAACUUGUGCUAAUACCGAAUGUGCCCUUUGGGGGAAAGAUUUAUCGCCUUUAGAGCGGCCCGCGUCUGAUUAGCUAGUUGGUGAGGUAAAGGCUCACCAAGGCUACGAUCAGUAGCUGGUCUGAGAGGAUGACCAGCCACAUUGGGACUGAGACACGGCCCAAACUCCUACGGGAGGCAGCAGUGGGGAAUCUUGCGCAAUGGGCGAAAGCCUGACGCAGCCAUGCCGCGUGGAUGAUGAAGGUCUUAGGAUUGUAAAAUCCUUUCACCGGUGAAGAUAAUGACUGUAGCCGGAGAAGAAGCCCCGGCUAACUUCGUGCCAGCAGCCGCGGUAAUACGAAGGGGGCUAGCGUUGCUCGGAAUUACUGGGCGUAAAGGGAGCGUAGGCGGACAUUUAAGUCAGGGGUGAAAUCCCGGAGCUCAACUCCGGAACUGCCUUUGAUACUGGGUGUCUUGAGUGUGAGAGAGGUAUGUGGAACUCCGAGUGUAGAGGUGAAAUUCGUAGAUAUUCGGAAGAACACCAGUGGCGAAGGCGACAUACUGGCUCAUUACUGACGCUGAGGCUCGAAAGCGUGGGGAGCAAACAGGAUUAGAUACUAGC